GGCAGCACCACCCAGUCUCUGGCUUUCAGACAUAUCCUGGCCUGCCUCCUUCCUCCUGAAGACAUACUGUGUUUCAAAUAAAGAUCCUUCAAGUACUGAGGUCCUCCAGGGUAGCCGGGUCUGCCAUACAUGCCUUGCUGCAUGUAGGGCUGAUUGGAGCCUCCUUUGGCUGGGAACUGCUGCUGCUGACCAGUGAACUGGGGUUUAUCGCCGAGACACGGCAGAGGCCCAGAGGAUCCUGCACUGACCUGUGUGUGAGGCCCGGCUUCAUGCUGUUCAUAGGCUGCAUGGGGACUUUGCCCUGCGGUUCGUUCUGCCUGUUUUUCU